UACAGAGGUGGCAAGCGUUGUUCGGAAUUACUGGGCGUAAAGGGCGCGUAGGCGGUCUUGUAAGUCUUGUGUGAAAUCCCACGGCUCAACCGUGGAAGUGCACCCGAAACUGCGCAGCUAGAGUCCUGGAGAGGAAGGCGGAAUACUUGGUGUAGAGGUGAAAUUCGUAGAUAUACAAGUGGAACACCGGUGGCGAAGGCGGCCUUCUGGACAGUGACGUGACGCUGAGA
rnacentral:rRNA from 1 species